GCCGAGGUGGCGAAAUGGUAGACGCGCUACGUUCAGGACGUAGUGUCCUUACGGACGUGCGAGUUCGACUCUCGCCCUCGGCACCA
rnacentral:tRNA from 2 species